rnacentral:rRNA from 1 species
UUUUCCGGUUGAUCCUGCCAGAGGCCACUGCUAUCGGUGUUCGACUAAGCCAUGCGAGUCAAAUGUUCUUCGUGAACAUGGCGUACUGCUCAGUAACACGUGGAUAACCUGCCCUUAGGUUCGGCAUAACCCCGGGAAACUGGGGAUAAUUCCGGAUAGAUCAUAGAUGCUGGAAUGCGCUGUGGUCCAAAGCUAUUGCGCCUAAGGAUGGGUCUGCGGUCUAUCAGGUCGUAGUGGGUGUAAUGUACCUACUAGCCUACGACGGAUACGGGUUGUGGGAGCAAGAGCCCGGAGAUGGAUUCUGAGACAUGAAUCCAGGCCCUACGGGGCGCAGCAGGCGCGAAAACUUUACAAUGCGGGGAACCGCGAUAAGGGGACACCGAGUGCCAGCAUCCUAUGUUGGCUGUCCAUAUGUCUAAAUCGCAUAUGUUAGCAAGGGCCGGGCAAGACCGGUGCCAGCCGCCGCGGUAACACCGGCGGCCCGAGUGGUGGCCACUAAUAUUGGGUCUAAAGGGUCCGUAGCCGGCUUGGUCAGUCUUCCGGGAAAUCUGACGGCUUAACCGUUAGGCUUCCGGGGGAUACUACCAGGCUUGGGACCGGGAGAGGUAAGAGGUACUACGGGGGUAGGAGUGAAAUCUUGUAAUCCCCGUGGGACCACCAGUGGCGAAGGCGUCUUACCAGAACGGGUCCGACGGUGAGGGACGAAAGCUGGGGGCACGAACCGGAUUAGAUACCCGGGUAGUCCCAGCCGUAAACUAUGCUCGCUAGGUGUCAGGGACGGUGCGACCGUUUCUGGUGCCGCAGGGAAGCCGUGAAGCGAGCCACCUGGGAAGUACGGUCGCAAGGCUGAAACUUAAAGGAAUUGGCGGGA